GAGUUUGAUCAUGGCUCAGAACGAACGCUGGCGGCAUGCCUAACACAGCAAGUCGAACGAACCUUCGGGUGAGUGGCGCACGGGUGCGUAACACGUGGGAAUAUACACUUCGGUAAGGAAUAACACAGAGAAAUUUGUGCUAAUACCUUAUAAUGACUCCGGUCCAAAGAUUUAUCGCCGAAGGAUUAGCCCGCGCUAGAUUAGUUUGUUGGUGAGGUAAAAGCUCACCAAGACUACGAUCUAUAGCUGGUCUUAGAGGAUGAUCAGCCACACUGGAACUGAGACACGGCCCAGACUCCUACGGGAGGCAGCAGUGGGGAAUAUUGGACAAUGGGCGAAAGCCUGAUCCAGCAAUGCCGCGUGAGUGAUGAAGGCCUUAGGGUUGUAAAGCUCUUUUACCCGGGAUGAUAAUGACAGUACCGGGAGAAUAAGCCCCGGCUAACUCCGUGCCAGCAGCCGCGGUAAUAC
rnacentral:rRNA from 1 species